rnacentral:ncRNA from 1 species
GUUGCGCGGGAAGUAGUUGAUGAAGGCAAAGCCGCGCGAUUGAUCAAUGCAGUGAAACAGCGGGUUCCAGUCAAACAUCGCCAACAUAAAGCUUGGCAGGGUGUUGGCGACGAACAUUUUGCCCGAAGCAAUCAUAUUGGCACGG